rnacentral:misc_RNA from 1 species
AAAAUAAGGAGUAUCUUCCUAUUGAAGGUUUGGCUGCAUUUAAUACAGCAACUGCAGAAUUAAUGUUUGGUGCAGAUAGUGAUGUUAUCAAGGAAGCAAGAGUUGCUACUGUUCAAGGACUCUCAGGGACUGGCUCUCUACGUCUUGCCGCAGCGUUUAUUCAAAGAUAUUUUCCUGAUGCAAAAGCUUUGAUCUCGUCUCCGACUUGGGGUAACCACAAAAAUAUCUUUAAUGAUGCCAGAGUUCCUUGGUCUGAAUACCGAUAUUAUGACCCAAGAACUGUGGGUUUGGAUUUUGAUGGGAUGAUAGGCGACAUAAAGGCUGCACCAGAUGGAUCUUUUGUUCUUCUACAUGGUUGUGCUCAUAACCCAACAGGAAUAGAUCCUACUCCCGAACAGUGGGAGAAAAUUGCCGAUGUCAUUCAAGAAAAGAACCACAUUCCAUUUUUCGAUGUUGCAUAUCAGGGAUUUGCCAGUGGAAGUCUCGAUGCAGAUGCUUCUUCUGUGAGGAUGUUUGUGUCACGUGGUUUGGAGACUUUUGUUGCUCAAUCUUACAGUAAGAAUUUGGGAUUAUAUGCUGAGAGGAUUGGUGCUAUUAAUGUUGUUUGUGCAUCAUCAGAUGCAGCGAUAAGGGUGAAGAGCCAGUUGAAAAGGCUAGCUCGACCAAUG